ensembl:lncRNA
GGGCCCACAAUUUCCCAGCCCCACCCAAGUCCCCUCUCCUCACUGUUCCCACUACUCAUGCCUCUGGGCCAUCAGGGUAUACUUAGCCUGAAAAAUUAGCAUAACUUUACAUGUCAAGAAGGUCCCGCAUACAACUGGCAUAACUGAGAAGGAGUCUGCACUUCAGUUGGAAGCCAAUUCUCCCUUUAUUCUCAAAGCUUCAUUUCAGAUGGAUUCCUAAGCUGAUCCUUCCCAACGCUGUCUUUACCAUUUCGGAGAAUACGAUGCUGGGACAGGAUGACUUUGUUCUGCCCUCUGACCCUCAUGCUCCCUGAUUCAAUUUAUGAUUAUUCCUUACACACACAUACAACACCAGAUUCACUAAAACUGCAACAUUUCCUGCAGUGUAUAUGCUGGGAGUUCCUACUGUAGCUCAGUGGGUUAAGACCCCAACGUAGUGUCUAUGAGGAUGCAGGUUCGAUCCAUAGCCUUGCUCAGCAAAUUAAGGAUCUGGCAUUGCCCCAAGCUGUGACUAGGCUGAAAGCUGCAGCCCUGAUACAACCCCUAGCCCAGGAAGUUCCAUAUGCCACAGGUGUGGCCAUAAAAACGAAAAGAAAAAAAGAAAAAAAAGUAUAUCCUAAGUGGAGCCCAGCAGUCAUCUCCGGAAAGCUGUCAAGUUUCAAGGUGAAACAUGAAUUCCCAUCAUUUCUUGAGCAUUUUCUCUGCAUCUGGGACUGGGCUACAUGUUGUGCUCACAUGAUCCUAUUUACUCUCCAUGGGAUCCCAUGAGGUCCCUUUUCACAGAGGAGGAAAAGGAGGUGAAACAACUAGUGCAAGACUACCCAGCAGUCAUACUACUUUGGGCAUCUAAAAUCCUCAUCUGGUGGGGCCUCUGGAGGAAAUGAGCCAAGGCUAGCUCAGAUGGCAGGGGUGUUUUUUUAGCUGGGAUGUCUGUUCUGGGAUCAUCCCUUUCUCCCAAGCAGGCAGCACACUCACUGCUCUACUGGUAUCAAGCGGAUAAAGCAUGAGAUUAGCCUUUAGCCAUCCUGGUUCUAAAUUCCAACCUAAUUCCUUAGGCAUGCAGCCUUGGAAAAGCGACUUUAAAACCAGCUCCAGGAUGUAACGAAUCCAACUAGUACCUUGAGAAUGUGGGUUUGAUCCUUGGACUCUGCUCAGGAGAUUAUGGAACCGCCUUUACCGUGAACUGCAGUGUAGCUCCCAGGCAGCUUGGAUCUGGCGUUGCUGUGGCGUGAGCCGGCCGGCUACGGCUCUGAUUUGACCCCUAGCCUGGAAACUUCCAUGUGUUGUGGGUGAGGCCCUAAAAACAAACAAACAAACAAAAAUACAGCUCCAGCUUUCCCCAGUUCUAAACCAAGGAUAAUAUUUAUCCCCCAGGGUUAUUUUCAGGAUUUAAUAAAAUAAUGAACAAAAAUCAAUUAGCACACUGCUAAAAUGUAGUCGAUGCCCAGCCAAGGAUGGCUGUAUUGCUGUUAUCAUUCCACCGACAUUCUUCAGCAUUUCUCAGAACUUUCACGUUGACCACCCCCCUCUUCCCCCUGCGGUCAGACUUCUGUCUCCGCCCUCCUGGUCCCGCCCUCCCUGCUUCCCUCAUUUCUUUCCCCAGUUGCCUCCUUGCACCCUAGAGAAACAGCAGCUCUGGCCCUGACCUGGCCUCCAUCACCUGCUCAGGUGUGGAGCUUCUGGGCAAUUUGAGCCCCCAUCACCAUGUGCUCCUCCACCUGGGCAGGACCCAGAGCCAUGCUGGGCUGCCUGGCCCUUCUCUGGGCCCUCCUGGUUCCUGGUAAGUGUCAGCCCCUUCUGAGCAGGUGGGGUGCACUGGGAGGCCAUGGGCUCAUCCUGCCCUCAUUACUGCCAUCUCUUUUGCAGGCCAAGAGAUCAGGCUGGUACAGCUGCCCGUGAUAGUGUCGCGUGUGGGGAACUCUGUCACCAUGCCCUGCCGGAUCACUACAUCCGUCAGCUACAUCCAUUGGUAUCGCCAGCUGGAGGGCCAGGCCCCUGAGAGGCUCCUCUAUCUGGCCACGUCGCAGCGGGAUGUGCAGUGGGAUUCCCUCUGGGUUUGUGUUGUUCCUUUACUUCAUCUUCUCCAUUGUCCUAAUCAAACUCUUUCCUCUUCUUGCAUCCAUCCCAGUGCCUGGCUC